rnacentral:rRNA from 1 species
GAUGAACGCUGGCGGCGUGCUUAACACAUGCAAGUCGAACGGAAAGGCUCCUGCUUGCAGGGGUACUCGAGUGGCGAACGGGUGAGUAACACGUGGGUGAUCUGCCCUGCACUUCGGGAUAAGCCUGUGAAACUGGGUCUAAUACCGGAUAGGACGAUGGUUUGGAUGCCAUUGUGGAAAGUUUUUCGGUGUGGGAUGAGCUCGCGGCCUAUCAGCUUGUUGGUGGGGUAAUGGCCUACCAAGGCGUCGACGGGUAGCCGGCCUGAGAGGGUGUACGGCCACAUUGGGACUGAGAUACGGCCCAGACCCCUAUGGGAGGGAGCGGUGGGGAAUAGUGUACUAUGGGCGCAAGCCUGGUGCAGCGACGCCGCGUGGGGGAUGACGGCCAUCGGGUAGUAAACUCCUUUCGCUAGGGACGAAGCGCAAGUGACGGUACCUGGAGAAGAAGCACCGGCUAACUACGUG